CCUACGGGGGGCAGCAGUGGGGAAUAUUGCACAAUGGGCGCAAGCCUGAUGCAGCCAUGCCGCGUGUGUGAAGAAGGCCUUCGGGUUGUAAAGCACUUUCAGCGGGGAGGAAGGCGUUAAGGUUAAUAACCUUGUCGAUUGACGUUACCCGCGGAAGAAGCACCGGCUAACUCCGUGCCAGCAGCCGCGGUAAUACGGAGGGUGCAAGCGUUAAUCGGAAUUACUGGGCGUAAAGCGCACGCAGGCGGUCUGUCAAGUCGGAUGUGAAAUCCCCGGGCUCAACCUGGGAACUGCAUUCGAAACUGGCAGGCUAGAGUCUUGUAGAGGGGGGUAGAAUUCCAGGUGUAGCGGUGAAAUGCGUAGAGAUCUGGAGGAAUACCGGUGGCGAAGGCGGCCCCCUGGACAAAGACUGACGCUCAGGUGCGAAAGCGUGGGGGGCAAACAGGAUUAGAUACCCUAGUAGUC
rnacentral:rRNA from 1 species